rnacentral:RNase_P_RNA from 1 species
CAGGAGGACCGGGCGGUCGCUGCUGGAAAUCCUUGCGCAAGCAGGGGUUGCCGGGAGAGGAAAGUCCGAACUCCGCAGGGCAGUGUGCCGGAUAACGUCCGGGACGCGGGCGUCAAGGCCCGUGGACGGCUAGUGCCACAGAGAACAUACCGCCCCAUUGCGUGGGGCACCACUGCGUGGAGGUUUCCGAUGGACUCGUCCAAAGGGCUGCUCCACGCAGUGGUGCCCCACGCAGUGGUGGUAAGGGUGAAAAGGUGCGGUAAGAGCGCACCGCUCCGGCAGUAAUGACGGAGGCAGGGUAAACCCCACACGGAGCAAGACCAAAUAGGGAGGGAAGUACGAGCCAGGGAGCAAGGCUCGCGCCCGGUGCCGGCCCGGCGCCGUAAGGCUGCUCUAUGCAAUAGCCGAAACCUCCGGGUAGGUCGCUGAUGAACGCCCACGGCAACGUGGCGUCUAGAGGAAUGACCGCAUAAACAGAAUUCGGCUUAUGAGUCCUUUUGCCGA